UACAGAGGGGGCAAGCGUUGUUCGGAAUUACUGGGCGUAAAGGGCGCGUAGGCGGCCUUCUAAGUCGAACGUGAAAUCCCCGGGCUCAACCCGGGAACUGCGUCCGAUACUGGAAGGCUUGAAUCCGGGAGAGGGAUGUGGAAUUCCAGGUGUAGCGGUGAAAUGCGUAGAUAUCUGGAGGAACACCGGGUGGCGAAGGCGACAUCCUGGACCGGUAUUGACGCUGAGGCGCGGAAAGCUAGGGGAGCCAAACGGGG
rnacentral:rRNA from 1 species